CACGUAGGGGGCAAGCGUUGUCCGGAUUUAUUGGGCGUAAAGAGCUCGUAGGCGGUUUCGUAAGUCGGGUGUGAAAACUCUAGGCUCAACCUAGAGACGCCACCCGAUACUGCGAUGACUAGAGUCCGGUAGGGGAGUGUGGAAUUCCUGGUGUAGCGGUGAAAUGCGCAGAUAUCAGGAGGAACACCAACGGCGAAGGCAGCACUCUGGGGCCGGAACUGACGCUGAGGAGCGAAAAGCGUGGGUAGCGAACAGG
rnacentral:rRNA from 1 species